CCGGCGAGGGGAGUGAAAAAGAACCUGAAACCGUGUACGUACAAGCAGUGGGAGCCCCACCACUAAGCCAGUGGUGAGUCCACGUCAGCAUCCUUUGCCGAAGGUAAGGUUAACGGAGCGCAAGCGACGUUCAACCUCAAAAGAAGCAGAGGGGGCUUAGUGGUGGGGUGACUGCGUACCUUUUGUAUAAUGGGUCAGCGACUUAUAUUCUGUAGCAAGGUUAACCGAAUAGGGGAGCCGAAGGGAAACCGAGUCUUAACUGGGCGUUAAGUUGCAGGGUAUAGACCCGAAACCCGGUGAUCUAGCCAUGGGCAGGUUGAAGGUUGGGUAACACUAACUGGAGGACCGAACCGACUAAUGUUGAAAAAUUAGCGGAUGACCUGUGGCUGGGGGUGAAAGGCCAAUCAAACCGGGAGAUAGCUGGUUCUCCCCGAAAGCUAUUUAGGUAGCGCCUCGUGAACUCAUCUUCGGGGGUAGAGCACUGUUUCGGCUAGGGGGUCAUCCCGACUUACCAACCCGAUGCAAACUGCGAAUACCGAAGAAUGUUAUCACGGGAGACACACGGCGGGUGCUAACGUCCGUCGUGAAGAGGGAAACAACCCAGACCGCCAGCUAAGGUCCCAAAGUCAUGGUUAAGUGGGAAACGAUGUGGGAAGGCCCAGACAGCCAGGAUGUUGGCUUAGAAGCAGCCAUCAUUUAAAGAAAGCGUAAUAGCUCACUGGUCGAGUCGGCCUGCGCGGAAGAUGUAACGGGGCUAAACCAUGCACCGAAGCUGCGGCAGCGACGCUUAUGCGUUGUUGGGUAGGGGAGCGUUCUGUAAGCCGUUGAAGGUGUGCUGUGAGGCAUGCUGGAGGUAUCAGAAGUGCGAAUGCUGACAUAAGUAACGAUAAAGCGGGUGAAAAGCCCGCUCGCCGGAAGACCAAGGGUUCCUGUCCAACGUUAAUCGGGGCAGGGUGAGUCGACCCCUAAGGCGAGGCCGAAAGGCGUAGUCGAUGGGAAACAGGUUAAUAUUCCUGUACUUGGUGUUACUGCGAAGGGGGGACGGAGAAGGCUAUGUUAGCCGGGCGACGGUUGUCCCGGUUUAAGCAUGUAGGCGGAGGUUCCAGGUAAAUCCGGUACCUUUUAACGCUGAGGUGUGAUGACGAGGCACUACGGUGCUGAAGUAACAAAUGCCCUGCUUCCAGGAAAAGCCUCUAAGCAUCAGGUAACACGAAAUCGUACCCCAAACCGACACAGGUGGUCAGGUAGAGAAUACCAAGGCGCUUGAGAGAACUCGGGUGAAGGAACUAGGCAAAAUGGUGCCGUAACUUCGGGAGAAGGCACGCUGACAUGUAGGUGAAGCCCCUGCGGGUGGAGCUGAAGUCAGUCGAAGAUACCAGCUGGCUGCAACUGUUUAUUAAAAACACAGCACUGUGCAAACACGAAAGUGGACGUAUACGGUGUGACGCCUGCCCGGUGCCGGAAGGUUAAUUGAUGGGGUUAUCCUCAGGGAGAAGCUCUUGAUCGAAGCCCCGGUAAACGGCGGCCGUAACUAUAACGGUCCUAAGGUAGCGAAAUUCCUUGUCGGGU
rnacentral:rRNA from 1 species